rnacentral:rRNA from 1 species
UACGUAUGGAGCAAGCGUUAUCCGGAUUUACUGGGUGUAAAGGGAGCGUAGGCGGUAAGGCAAGUCUGAUGUGAAAGGCCGGGGCCCAACCCUGGGACUGCAUUUGAAACUGCCAUACUGGAGUGCCGGAGAGGUAAGCGGAAUUCCUAGUGUAGCGGUGAAAUGCGUAGAUAUUAGGAGGAACACCAGUGGCGGAGGCGGCUUACUGGACGGUAACUGACGCUGAGGCUCGAAAGCGUGGGGAGCAAACAGG